UACGGGGGGGGCAAGCGUUGUUCGGAAUUACUGGGCGUAAAGGGCUCGUAGGCGGCCAACUAAGUCGGACGUGAAAUCCCUCGGCUUAACCUGGGAACUGCAUUCGAGACUGCAUUGCUAGAGUAUGGGAGAGGGAAGUGGAAUUUCCGGUGUAGCGGUGAAAUGCGUAGAUAUCGGAAGGAACAUCAGUGGCGAAAGCGACUUCCUGGACCAAUACUGACGCUCAUGUGCGAAAGCGUGGGGAGCAAACAGG
rnacentral:rRNA from 1 species